GGGGGUGUAUAGGAUUCGACUUGGAAGCAAUGGUUUGAUUGCAUGCGGAGGUUGUCGGUUGGCCUCCUUAAAAAGCCGGCAAAACAUCAAAUGCCAAUAAAAAGGCUGAUAACAACUGCGAGAUGAUCGCUUUCCCUGGUGCUGCAACUCUAGAGUUUGCUAGCGCUGGUGUAACUGCGGUUGCUGCGUAAGUUGUUAUGAUGUUGCAAGGACCUAAUCCGUCUUUGCAACCCGGUAGCUUGAAGCUGGACCAGGGGCUUCAAACCUACUGUCAUUUUUCUUGGUGUGAGACUCCUUCUGGUGGUCUCGCAGAAGGAAGUCUCGAGAAAUCUCGAGACCGACCAACGCCGUAGGGGUGUCCAACUUAGGCGGUGGUGUCAACGAUUGGGCACUAAGCAUGUAGUGGUCAUUCUCAGAGUUUGCCAAGGACGGGAGUUCGAGUCUCCCCACCUCCA
rnacentral:tmRNA from 1 species